UUUGAUGGUGGCUGUACGCAGGGCGCUUCGGCGCGCCGGUAAAUGCUGAUCUCCCCCGGUCUACUAACCUGCGUCCAGCCGCCACCCUU
rnacentral:antisense_RNA from 1 species